CAGUAGCCGCGGGAAUACGAGGGGGGCAAGCGUCGUUCGGAAUUAUUGGGCGUAAAGGGUGUGUAGGCGGUUUGGCAAGUCUUAUGUGAAAUCUUCGGGCUCAACCCGAAGUCUGCAUGAGAAACUGCCGGGCUUGAGUAUGGGAGAGGUAAGUGGAAUUUCCGGUGUAGCGGUGAAAUGCGUAGAUAUCGGAAGGAACACCUGUGGCGAAAGCGGCUCACUGGACCAUAACUGACGCUGAGGCACGAAAGCUAGGGGAGCAGACAGGAUUAGAUACCCGCGUAGUCCCUGUCUCUUAUAC
rnacentral:rRNA from 1 species